UACGUAUGGAGCAAGCGUUAUCCGGAUUUACUGGGUGUAAAGGGAGCGCAGGCGGCUUUGCAAGUCUGAUGUGAAAGGCCGGGGCUCAACCCCGGGACUGCAUUGGAAACUGUAAAGCUAGAGUGCCGGAGGGGUAAGCGGAAUUCCUAGUGUAGCGGUGAAAUGCGUAGAUAUUAGGAGGAACACCAGUGGCGAAGGCGGCUUACUGGACGGUAACUGACGCUGAGGCUCGAAAGCGUGGGGAGCAAACAGG
rnacentral:rRNA from 1 species